CCUACGGGUGGCAGCAGUGGGGAAUAUUGGGCAAUGGGCGCAAGCCUGACCCAGCAACGCCGCGUGAAGGAAGAAGGCUUUCCGGUUGUAAACUUCUUUUGACAGGGGAGAGCAGAAGACGGUACCUGUCGAAUAAGCCACGGCUAACUACGUGCCAGCAGCCGCGGUAAUACGUAGGGGGCAGGCGUUGUCCGGCUUUCCUGGGUGUAAAGGGCGUGUUGCCGGGCUGACAAGUAAGAUGUGAAAUCCGGGGGCUCAACCCCCGAACUGCCUUUGAAACUGUUGGUCUGGAGUAUCGGAGAGGCAGGCGGAAUUCCUGGUGUAGCGGUGAAAUGCGUAGAUAUUGGGAGGAACACCAGUGGCGAAGGCGGCCUGCUGGACGAAAACUGACGGUGAGGCGCGAAAGCGUGGGGAGCAAACAGGAUUAGAUACCCUUGUAGUC
rnacentral:rRNA from 1 species